ACCGAGCCGGAGAGCAAUGGUGGCCUCUUCAUACAUAGUGUCAUAGGCCCUGUCUCUGCAAUGUAACGUGGAGAGCUGAGAAAAUCAAAGAGUGCGCUUGUUUUCUGAUAUAAAUUGAAGCGGAACAGCUGCGGCCCGGUGAUAUAGUGGGAAAGACACGAAUGCUAUUUGAGGAAACCCAUUGCAGAGUUACGGUUAAGUCCAGUCCAACUGUCUGGCUCCGGCACUGCCAGCCAUCAGAGAGAAGUGAGAAGCGCUGUGCACAGAGCACGAGUCGGGGCCAACCAGCAUGCCAAGAAAAGUAAAGAGCCUUGGCUGCACCUCAAAUAAUCCGAAAAAGAUUGCAUGGCAUUAAAGCUGCAAGUGCGAACUCACAACAGCGAUGGGCAGCGUCACAUCACAGCACUUUCCCGUUGAGCCUCGGCUCCCAUUGCGAGAGCAAGUCUUACUGGGUCUCUCCGUGUUUCUUUCCCUCCCCGUCUUUCGUUCGCUCUUUUUCCCAGGGACACAUACUGUAACUGGCGCAACUACGCCACUCAGUUGCUGUUUCGUUUACUUUAUGGGGUGUAGCUGAGAUCUGUACCAUACCACCGUAUAUUAAAGGGAUCUUAUAAA